AAGGGGACUGGGCCUUGCCUGGACCACCCACCUGGCUUGGGCCAUGCCAGCUGCUCUGCUGCAGUGUGUGGUUGCUCAAGUUUAGCUACAAGGCCAUAUAAGAGUCCUUCCAAGAGGAGGAUGGGGCGAACUUUCCAGCUAGAGUUUGACCUAAGGAAGGAUUUCAAAACUUACCCCUGCAAUGCUUUAACAGCAUUCAAGUCAAAUGGAGGCUUUUCAUACAGUGAAAUCCACAGUAGCUCUCUGUGGUAUGUAGGGCUACUAGCCAGAUAUACCUGAAAGCAAGCGCUUGCCUUGCUCUCCCUCUGCCACAGAACGAUGACACAGGGAUAACAAAGGGAAAUACCAGGGAAUGUCAAGUCAAACAAAUCGUAGAUCUUCUCUGGCGGCUUCUUUGACCUUGUUCUGAGUGAACACCGUGUACAUCAAGGAAGAUAAUUACAACUUUUUCAAGUCUUCUAAAAUCGAACUCCCUGUGGUGGCGACCAGUAUCUUCAAACUCAUACCAGAGUAAAGCCUUAUCCAUUUGGAGUUCUUUCUGAUGCAUUAUGUGAGAAAAACAAGCAAACAAAUGAACACUUAUUUGUAUUUGAAUUGCACUAAAUUUAUACAUGAAACUGAAAAAAACUGAUAUCUUUAUGAAGCUGCAUAAUCCUAUCCAAGGACAGACGUCUCCUUCCAUUUGCUUUUGCUUUACUAAUUUGAAUCUAUGUUAUUUGUUUUGGAUACAUCUGGAAUUGACUUUUUUGCAUGGUGUAAGAGCCAGCUCUUCUUCAGGAUAAGCAUGCCUGGUUUCUUCAACUUAUUCCACAAGAGUGAACAAGUAAGAAAUAACAGUUCUUCCUGGAUCAGCCCUCUCCCGUCUGUCAUCUCCAACAGAUACAAAGCCAGCUUUAAGAAGACCAAACCUACAAAAAUCAUUCAUGCUUUCUGCCUCCAUGUUUUUCUUUCCAACCUAGUUCCUCCAGAAAAUGUAAAAGAGCAACCGAACCGUCAACUGGUACAAUGACUUCUACACAUCAGACCUCGGCCACGCCACAGUCAUCAGAUUAUUCUAUCACAGGGUCUCUCAACCGUGGAAUAUGGUCUCCAAGGGAAACAAGCCACAGAGGGCUCAGGAGCAUUGCUAUAAAGAGUAGGCAAAUGGAAAUCUUUCCCCAAAGGGCACACUGGGAUUGUUAGGCGAGGGCUGCUCAAUCCAUUAAAAGUUUAAACUCGAAAAAAAAAAAGAAAAAAAAAACCUUUUGAAAAAA
rnacentral:lncRNA from 1 species